rnacentral:rRNA from 1 species
CCUACGGGAGGCAGCAGUGGGGAAUAUUGGACAAUGGGGGGAACCCUGAUCCAGCCAUGCCGCGUGUGUGAAGAAGGCCCUCGGGUUGUAAAGCACUUUCAGUGAGGAAGAACGCCUGGUGGUUAAUACCCAUCAGGAAAGACAUCACUCACAGAAGAAACACCGGCUAACUCCGUGCCAGCAGCCGCGGUAAUACGGAGGGUGCGAGCGUUAAUCGGAAUUACUGGGCGUAAAGCGCGCGUAGGUGGCUUGAUAAGCCGGUUGUGAAAGCCCCGGGCUCAACCUGGGAACGGCAUCCGGAACUGUCAAGCUAGAGUGCAGGAGAGGAAGGUAGAAUUCCCGGUGUAGCGGUGAAAUGCGUAGAGAUCGGGAGGAAUACCAGUGGCGAAGGCGGCCUUCUGGACUGACACUGACACUGAGGUGCGAAAGCGUGGGUAGCAAACAGGAUUAGAUACCCUGGUAGUC